rnacentral:tRNA from 1 species
GUCCCCUUAGCUCAAUGGAUAGAGCAGCGGCCUUCUAAGCCGUCGAUAUAGGUUCGAUUCCUAUAGGGGAUG